CACCUUAGAGGACUAUUUACACAACUAAUGUCCAGUAACUAGGAGAUGAUUAAAGAAGCCAGAGUCAUGGGUCCAAUUCACUCAAUGUAUUAAUGAAAGAAUGAAAUAUUUUCUCACAAUGUUAACACAAUGUAAAUGACACAAUAAAACAGCGUAGGCCUACGCAAAAUAACCAAAACAAUAAAACAAUGUUCUUUGAGUCAAAAGAUACAAUAAUGUUGAUAUAAGGCAGUGAAGUGGUGUUAUUAAGAAUACUCAGUCCCAACAAGUCCCAGGUUUCCAGAGAAAGUCCACGUAAUGAAAGGAAGGUACAGAUAUCUUCAGACAUCGAUCCUCAGACGUGAUGUCAUCACAUUGGAACUCAAACAGACGGUAUGUUAGUAGGGAUCUUUGUAUGAUACUGAUAGGGUUAUUAAUGAUGUGGUGAUAACAGUGAGGCCUGUAGCUUCGUGUGCUGCAAUGUUCAGUGUGUGUGUGUGUGUGAUGGGUUUGUGUUUUUAAAGUCCGCUGGACAAUCGUGGAUAAACGUGUGGUUGGUCUGCAAUGACGCACGCGCUGAUAUUCACCAUAUAAUUCCAGCAACUUCUGGAGCGAUCACACAACAUCGGCCGCCCAUCACAUCUGAAAUGCCAAACUGCUCACCAGCUGAGUGCUAUAUUAUCAAUCUACAGUUCGAUGGCUUUGAUCAAACUUGCCUCAUGCUAUUACAAUACUAGCACGCACCGCUAUUUCUUCCUUUCUUUCCUCCUAUUUCCGUAUAUCUGAUCUCACGUCUAGCUGAUAUUCACCAUAUAAUUCCAGCAACUUCUGGAGCGAUCACACAACAUCGGCCGCCCAUCACAUCUGAAAUGCCAAACUGCUCACCAGCUGAGUGCUAUAUUAUCAAUCUACAGUUCGAUGGCUUUGAUCAAACUUGCCUCAUGCAUUUACAAUACUAGCACGCACCGCAUUUCUUCCUUCUUUUCCUCCAUUGCCGUAUAUCUGAUCUCACGUCAUUUUUACCAAACUCGCGAGACUUCCGAUUAAACUCCGCCUACUCAACAGGUAGGCGUUAACUGCAAAUCAGUCGCGUGUUAAAAUCAUUCGCGAAACUACCGCCAGGUGGCGCAAAGGGACGGAUUGCGAACUGAAUGUAAUUGUAAAAUGAAAGGAAGACAUUAAACAACAAUAACAUUAUAAUAUACAUUAUAACAUCCUUAAAAGCCAUUAAAAAAAAU
rnacentral:lncRNA from 1 species